AACUUUGUGCAGUGGUAGCAUCGUAGCCAAUGAGGGUUAUCCAAGGGGUGAUCAUUGCUAAUUGAAAACUAAAAACAAUGAAUACAUGCAGUUGUGAAAAAUAUGCGUACCUUUAAUGAAG
rnacentral:snRNA from 1 species